rnacentral:rRNA from 1 species
UACGGAAGGCAGCAGUGGGGAAUAUUGCACAAUGGGCGCAAGCCUGAUGCAGCCAUGCCGCGUGUAUGAAGAAGGCCUUCGGGUUGUAAAGUACUUUCAGUCGUGAGGAAGGUGUUAAGGUUAAUAACCUUAGCAAUUGACGUUAGCGACAGAAGAAGCACCGGCUAACUCCGUGCCAGCAGCCGCGGUAAUACGGAGGGUGCGAGCGUUAAUCGGAAUUACUGGGCGUAAAGGGCACGCAGGCGGUUAAUUAAGUUGGAUGUGAAAUCCCCGGGCUUAACCUGGGAAUGGCAUUCAAGACUGGUUAGCUAGAGUCUUGUAGAGGGGGUAGAAUUCCAUGUGUAGCGGUGAAAUGCGUAGAGAUGUGGAGGAAUACCGGGUGGCGAAGGCGGCCCCUGGGACAAAGGCUGACGCUCAUGUGCGAAAGCGUGGGGAGCAAACAGGAUUAGAUACC